rnacentral:tRNA from 1 species
GAAUUCAUAGUGUAGUAGUCAUCGUGUCUGCUUUACACGCAGUAGGUUCUCGGUUCAAUCCCCAGUGAAACCA